CUUCUCCAGGCCAAACUGGAGAAGUGUUCAAAGAAAAUUGAGGCGGUUGCUAAUUGGCAGCCGCCUCAGCAUGUCUCAGAACUUCGGCCCUUUUGGGGUUUUGCCAGUUAUUACAGAAGGUUUGUGGAGGGUUUUGCUAAGCUGGCUGCCCCACUUCAUUGUCUAGUAGCUGACCUGACCGAGGCCAAGAGAAGGAGUACAGCCCAGUCUUGCUAGGAGGCUUAGACAGAGGAGUGUCAACAAAGUUUUGAUACUUUGAAGCAGUGGUUGGUGAGCGCCCCUCUUUUGGCUUAUGCAGACUUCUCAUUGCAAUUUAUUUUAGAAGUGGAUGCAAGUUACAGCGGAUUGGGAGCAGUCCUGUCUUUGGAACAGGGAGGCAGAGUUUGACCAGUUGCUUAUGCAAGUCGAGGAUUAAGACCGUCAGAGAGGAAUAUGUCCAAUUAUAGUUCCGUGAAACUGGAAUACUUGGCCCUUAAAUGGGCAAUGAGUGAGAAAUUCCGUUUGAUUCCCAAGUUUGUUCUGGAUGCAGCAAUCGCAAUGCUGAUGCACUAUCACGACAGCACCCUGCUGGGCCUGUACUGGAUGGUAUGAUUCUAUUUGCAUGGGCUGCAGGAACCAGAUGCAGCGUUAGGAGUGUUGCUGCAGCUGUGGAGAAGGGGAAAUAUCCUUUAAGUGAAGAGCAGCAGGGGUUGUGCACGGAUACAGGUAGACUACUAAAACAGUGGAAAUGGCUAAGGAUGAAGGAUGGCGUAUUGUAUCGCCAGUGCCACCAUUCCCAGGGUGGUGAGGCCUUUCUUCAGCUUUUGCUCCCAGCAUCUUUAAAGACUGUAGUGAUGGAGCAUCUUCAUGAUGAACAUGGACAAGCAACAACGUGCCAGUUGGAAAAAUGAUACCGAAGAUAGUUUCCUUUGGCUAUAAAAAAUACGAGGUAGUCGACAAAAAACGAGUGGCAAUUUGCAAAACAUGCGGGUCGAAGAUAACAGACGGAGCUGCCACAACGUCCAACUUGAAGUUGCACAAAGAAAGGUAUGAAGAAUACCAGAUGAACAAAAGCAUCGUAGAUGAACCACAACAGCCUUCAAUCUCACAAUUCCUGGACACUCUGUAUGGCCUUACAGCAUGAGCCACCCACAGCAGAAGGCCAUCUCCAAAGCGAUACUGUCUGACUUGAUAAUUUUCCUCUGUCAAAUGUGGAAAAUAAUGCAAGGCAUUUACGGUUUGCUUCCCCAGCGAACAGGAGGAAGAUGAUGAUGCUGGAGAUAAUCUUGAUGAUCCUGAGCUAUGGCAUGACUACUUAACCCUAGAAGACCAGCAAAACUUGGAUGCUGCAAUGGCAAAGAAACAGCGCCUGCAGUGUUUUGCACACACAUUGCAGCUGGUUGUGGGAGACGGUUUGAAAGAAAUAAAAGCGGCAUGUCCUUCUCUCUCCAAGUUAUCAAAACUUAGUUCCCUGUUCCGCACAACGUUUAAAGUCAUCUUCGAUGGUGAAUUUGGGGAGCACAGAGGCAUGCAUGCUGCAGUGAGCACGAGGUGGAAUUCCACACUGCGGCAGGUGAAAAAGCUCUGCACAGUUCUUGAGAAGGCCUUGCAUAAAGAACUGUCAUUCACACCACGAGAGUGGAAUCUGCUGAAGAAGUUGGUGGACAUUUUGAAACCUUUCGGAGACGCAACUGAUUUGACUCAGGGAGAGAAAGUCAUUACAAUCAGUGCAGUUGUUCCAUCUGUCUUGUCCCUCAAUCACCAUCUUGAGAAA